rnacentral:lncRNA from 1 species
UCAACCUUUUCUCUCUUACCCAUCAGAUUUUCAGCAACAACAACGAAGUAUUAUCAAAUGGAUAAACAACUCACCCUUUCUAUUUUUUUUUGUUAAAUAAGUUCUCCAACUCCUUUCUAUCACCGAUGCAAUUUUUUUUUCCUAACCUAAUGGCUGACCAGAAUAUUUUCACCGUCACCACCGUUGAAGACACCGUUCCCGACAGCGGAACAACCACUGGCAACACAGUAGUGAACCCGCAAAGCCGCUGGAACCAUUGAUUCCGGCCAAAGGAAAUCUCUGUCAAUGUAAGUUUUUACGGACCAGAUCUAUACCAAAUUUUGUCCAUGAGUUUUUCUUGUCCAUCGUAAGUCUUCCUCUAACAUUCAUUUUACAGAUUGUCCAUCGGAUCUACAGAACAAAACUAUUCAUCAGUUAGUCCAAUAGACAACCCUACUCAGCCCAUGUAAACUAUGAGAUAGACCAUUUAUAUUUUUGUGGGAUACCAUUCGUCCUUUCCAUUUUUAUUUAUUGAUAGACAAAUUUUGUUCUUUAGGAUCUCUGUAGACAACAUAACAUAUGACACCAGCGAUGGACAACCGUAAGAGGAUAUUAAAAAUCUUGUUUAUCCUGUGGAUCUAACCAAAAAUCUGGAUGUUCUCCUUUUUCAACCUUCUUCCCUUCUUCAAAUUAUCUUUAUCAUUUUGUCUAUAGUAAGUCGUCCUCUAACAUGUUUUACAAAUGGUCUAUCAGAUAUACAAAACAAGUCUGUCAAUCAGUUAGUCCAGUAAACAACCCUCCUCAGCCCAUGUAAACUAUGAGAUGGACCAUUUAUAUUUUUGUUGAAUGCUCUACCAUUCGUCCUUUCCAUUUUCUAUUUAUUGAUGGACAAAAUUUGUUAUUUAGGAUCUCUGUAGACAACAUAGCAGAUGACACUUGUGAUGGACAAUCGUAUGAAGAGAUCAAAAUCUUGUUUAUCUCGUGGGCUUAACCGAAAAUCUAAUUGUUGUCCUUCUUCGACCCUUCUCCCAUUAUUCAAAUUUUCUCUGUUAUUUUGUCUUCCAUAAAUCCAUCUGGAUUUCAUAUGUUGUUUUACUUUUUAACUACCCAUUAAGUUAAUAUCUGUUGGAUAAUAG